rnacentral:rRNA from 1 species
AACGAACGCUGGCGGCGCGUCUUAAGCAUGCAAGUCGAACGGCAAGAGAGGAGCUUGCUUCUCUCCUAGAGUGGCGGACUGGUGAGGAACACGUGGGUAAUCUACCCUUAAGAUGGGGAUAGCUGCUAGAAAUAGCAGGUAAUACCGAAUACACUCGGCAUAUCACAAGAGGUGUUGAGGAAAGGAAGCUACGGCUUCGCUUGAGGAUGAGCUUGCGUCCCAUUAGCUAGUUGGUGAGGUAAAGGCCCACCAAGGCGACGAUGGGUAUCCGGCCUGAGAGGGUGAACGGACACAUUGGGACUGAGAUACGGCCCAAACUCCUACGGGAGGCAGCAGCUAAGAAUAUUCCGCAAUGGACGGAAGUCUGACGGAGCGACGCCGCGUGGAUGAAGAAGGCUGGAAAGUUGUAAAAUCCUUUUGUUGAUGAAGAAUAAGGGUGAGAGGGAAUGCUCAUCUGAUGACGGUAAUCGACGAAUAAGCCCCGGCUAAUUACGUG